rnacentral:lncRNA from 1 species
GUUUCAUAUUCUACAAGUCCUUCCACAUUCCGGAUCAGAAGCGCACGACAUUGUUCUGUGGUACCAUGCCACCGUGGUCUUGGUACAUUGGCCUUGCAGGAGUCUGGGCUCCAGGUGCUGUAUGGAGAGCUGAGGCACACAUCAUUAUAAUGGCAAGAUAG